rnacentral:misc_RNA from 1 species
UUGAUGUUUUGGACUGAUUGGGGGAACCCACCGAAAAUCGAGAAGUCAGCUUUAAAUGGCACCAAGCGUUUUGCAAUUGUAACAACCAAUCUUACGAGGCCAUACGGUAUCACUCUUGAUCGUCGAAACAAACUUGUUUUCUGGGUGGACAAGGAAAUGGACGUAAUAGAAUCCGUGGAAUACAGUGGAAACAACAGAAAAAUCCUCUUUCAGGGACGAGGAAUGUUUUUUUGAGGAGUCACUUUUACCUCGUCGUACCUGUUCAUCAAUGAAUGGCGAAAAAGUUGGGUUUCCCAAAUGAAUGCCUAUAAUGGAACAAUUGUGAAUAAUAUAACAACCGGUGGAAUUUUUCCGAGCGGACUUAUCGCAUUUGACAGCUCGCUGCAGUUACCAGCAACCACGUGUCUAGCGUUACGUGCACCGACUGAUGGAGCAGUACUUGGAUGUCCUGGAAAUGCAGGAGCAAAUUAUGAUACAGUCUGUCAAUUCUCGUGUAACAGUGGCUAUAUAGGUUAUGGUUCUCAAGAAAGAAGGUGUCAACACGAUGGAACUUGGAGUGGAAAAGAGUUUGUUUGUCAAACUGUUACAUGCACGUUACCGACAAAUGGUGUACUCUUGGGAUGUAAAACAAACACAACAGAGAUGUCAUAUAACGCAGAGUGCAGGUUCUCUUGUAAGGAAAGCGUUGAAGAGAUGAGUCCAACGGUGAGGAUAUGUGCAGAAAAUGGAAGCUGGAGUGAGACCGACGUUGGCUGUACAGGUAUAACAUUUGCGAACACUUACUUUUGGAGAGCUUUUUUCUCUUGUCCUAAACGUAUUGAUGAUCUUGGAUAUGAGACGAAUCAGUUUAAGAUUCUCAAUAGUCUUUCUAAGGUUGGCUGCGAUUGUAGAUUGCGACAGUAGAUCUAACAUUGUGAUAACAAUCAUUUUUCUAUUUCCUACACGGGCUAUCUCAUAUAAGUAUGUUUCAGGGUCAAUCGAUGUAACUUGCGAUCUUACAACACAAAUCGAUACAAGAUCGUCAUUAGUCUUUUCAAAGUUUGCAGCGAAUGUAGAUCUCGAUGGUCAAUCUAACGACUUCGCAGCAAUCUACUGUGUGGCUGGCAUGCGCAUACAGCUGAUCCAAUACAUCUGCGCUUUGAUCACUCGAUUUACGAUCGUAGAAUGGAUCGUCUCUGCGUCGAUGUGUUCAAGACUCAGUAACGAUACAAUUGCCUGGUCCCUCUUAUUCACUUUAUCAAUGAUAUUGAUAAUGAAUAAGAGAUGACACUCGCAGCUCCGAGGACUCUUUAUUCCCUUUCAAAUACUAAUCCUUUGUUGAGCUUGUUUCGUUUACAGCGUAGGCUGUUAUUGCAAAACGAUUUACGAUUCUAGGCAUCUUAAGGCAUUUGAUCCAGACAGAGAAGUUACGAAGUCACAUCUAGCCUGCCAGAGAUUCAACUGACGGUAAUAACUGCAGAAUGAUGUUUUGGACUGACGGGGAAUCAAGACAAGUCAUGAAGUCAACUUUGGAGGGAACACAGUGUGUCGCUCUAGUAGCUUCCAAACUUUUUCGACCUGCUGGCAUCACUCUUAACAGAUGAAACAAACUUGUCUUCUGGGCGAACUAUUUUAACGAUACAAUAGAAACCGUUGGUUAUGGAGGAAAUAACAGAAGAGUACUCUUUAGAUCUCAGCGUUAUUCACGUCUCUGGGGGAGUAACCUUCAUUUCGUCGCAUUUAUUCUUUAAUGUAUGGAGGGGAAAUUGUUAUAAUGUAGAUGCCUCCAAUGGAUCAGUUACCAGGAGUUUCGUGAUCAACCCCAGCUCUUGAACUCGUUGCAUUCGACACCUCCCUCCAGUCACCAGCUUUGUUAUUCUGAAAGUGAAAGCGAUAUCUUUUUAUGUUUUUUUGGCGAUAAAUGAAGAGAAGUGAAGAAAACCUAUUGUAUUUAGUAUUACUUUGAAAAUCAUGCCAAACAAGGGAUUUCCAUUCAAGUGGCUUAGAUCAGAGCGGACCCAAGCAGGCCGUUUUGCGGUCUUACUCGGCUGCGCCUCGGGAGUUCGCGACAUUUUGACCGCUGUGAUGACGAGUAUUGUUGUCGAUAAGAGUAAAAACUACGCUAAACCACUGUCGAUUUGUAUUUUACCACAGCAUCGACGUCAAA